GCCGGGUCCUUUGCCAUGUGGAGUGGCAGAGGGGCCUGCACGGAGAGUGAGGAGCAGGCACUCCCCAGGGUGUGGGUCAUGGAGGCCCAGAGCUGAGACGGUGCAGACAAGAGAGUGGCCAGCAGGGCGCCGGGGCUGCCAGCCUCGAGGUCAGCGUGAGACAAACAGAUGCAGCAAUGAUGUCACGAGUCUCCAUGAGGUGAGCAGGCCAAGGCCCGGUGGCCUCAAAGUCCACGUUAUGGAGGGCAAUGCGGGGGCACGUGGUCAGAGUGGAGUUCUGGAAAGAUCCCCGUGACAGCUGAUGGGCCCCCAGGCCAGGAGGAGGUGGCUGUGAACAGCACCGCCCAGCCAAUCAGCGCCCAGUGUUUCCUGCCUUCUGUCACACCUGGCUGCUUGGACCCUACCUGGGCUGGGGGAGCGCACCUGGCCACACUCCCAGGGUCUCAGCUCGACUCUGCGAGGAAGCUCAGGUUCAGAGAGGCGAAGGGACGCCACUGGCCCCAGGGACAAGACACCUCAUGCACACAACAGGUGCUCAACUUCUCACAGUAGGUGCACCCUUUCUCUUGCAUUCUCCCUCGGGAGCAGAUGUGGGACUCACACUCAAGACUUCUGACUGUCUGUCCAGUGCUCCCGCCCCUGCUCUGAGCCACAUUUAGGAAACUCCCCCUGUUCACAGGAUGGGAUGCGGGGAUGCGCAGAUGCCGGGCUCCACCUGUCUCUGUCUCUUCAGCCCCCCAGCAGCCCC